GCUCCGGCCGCCGCCGCCGCCGCCUCCUUCUUGCAUGACACAGCAGAACCGCAGCUGCUGCAGCAAGUCCCAACCAUCCGCCCAGGAAGCGCCGCAACCGGGACUCGGGAGGGGCAGAGGGGGGCGAGGCUGGGGCCACCGCCGAGGGGGAUUCUUGCCCCCACUUUGCACCACACACUUGUUUCCCAACCCAGGGGCAUGGGAACAAAAUCAGGCUAAAGCCGACAAGGCCGAGCCGUUGAGGAGUGCUGGGGUUUGGCGUCAGAAGGGAUGGGACCAGAGAGAAGGGUGCGAAGGAGACCCCAGUAGGGGCAGGACAUUGCAGGGAAGGAAGAGGCCGAGAAGUCAAGGGCCAGGCUGUGAAGGAGAAUAAAGGAGGUCAAAGAGAGGUCACAUCUACGUACCUCACUUCCUGACACAAACAAGUUUUUACUGUUGUCAGCAACAAAGCCCUAAUAUAGCUGCGGAAGAGAAAAACUGCAUUGCAUUUAGCCUCCUGCAAGCAUCAUCAACAGUUACCGGAGGAAUGUAAUUCCAGAAAGCUUUAAAGCUGGUGGUGAUGGUAAUUAUGUAUCAGAUGCCUGAUUCUAUUUCUGUUAUUAUUGUUUUGUCAUUUCUGUUCUACCCAAGAGCUGGCUGAACUCGCAGAGAGACGAAUCCAGUUUUUCUUCUUGACUUGGUACAAAAUUAAUCAGACCUGAUAGAAAACUCAUUGCUCUUGGGGAAAAUCAAGUAGGAGCCACGAAAUGUCAUUUUAGCAGAGCGUGGGUUUUGCGACUGUAGGAAAGGAUUUGAAGACGCUCCUUCUGUUCGGUUUCCUAUGUAACGAGCAAAGGCUACACGCACGCACAGACGCCACAGCUCCCGGAUGCUGUGGCUCCCUUAUCUGGGCUCCUGCAGCGCCAGAAGCCCCUUCGGGAUGCUGCGAGGGGCUCCCGGUGGGUGGUGGUAGGAACGCUGCGGCCGCGGCCACUCCAGCCGCUGCUGCUGUUGUUGCUGCUGCAGUCACGUGGGAGCCCCUUUAAGUUUCCAUAGAGAGGCCUCUCCGGUGUCACAUGAUGGACAUGAUAUAAUGAAACAACAUUGUGGAGAGGAAAGCAUUAGGGGAGCCCACGGCUACGAAAACAAGUGAGUGAGAAGAGGUGGGAGGAAGAGAAACUACGCCACCUCCCCUGCAGCCGAGCCGCACGCAGCAGCCAGCGAGAAGUGGGCGACGCCGGGGGGGAGGGGGGGCAGGGAGACGGGGUCCUCAGCCCCGGCCCGGGGACCCCGCCGCCCACCGCGGAGAGAACAACUUUUAGCCGGCAGCCUCGGCCACCGCCGCACCUGUCUCCGGAGCCUCCAUCGCUCCUCGUGACGAUCAAAGGGAAAUUCUAGAAGAAUAUGCUCUACAAAUAUACAUGCGCAUCAUUUUCCUCCUCGCGUCUGGCUCUGGAAGGAGGAAAGAGAAAGGGAUUCUAGCGGCAGCGUGCGUUCCGCCCCAAGGGAGAAAAAUCAAGACGUUCCACCCCGCCCCUCCUGUUUUAAAUACGGAUUCAGCUCGAAGCUAGGCUGAAGGGCAUUUUAUUAAUGCCUUUGAAGGUUAGAAGAUAUUUUACCUUCUGGAGUUUCUCUCACUCACCGAUGAUCUCAGCUCAAACCUGCCAGUUCAGGGGAGAUGAUCGAUAACACCCUCAGAUGAUCGACAUCCAAGUGAG